rnacentral:rRNA from 1 species
UACGUAGGGAGCAAGCGUUGUCCGGAAUCAGUGGGCGUAAAGCGUGCGCAGGCGGCGCGUUAAGACAGGUGUGAAAGCCCCGAGCUUAACUUGGGAAUUGCGCUUGUGACUGGCGAGCUGGAGUGUGGCAGAGGGAGGUGGAAUUCCACGUGUAGCAGUGAAAUGCGUAGAGAUGUGGAGGAACACCGAUGGCGAAGGCAGCCUCCUGGGCCAGCACUGACGCUCAUGCACGAAAGCGUGGGGAGCAAACAGG